AGCGGCGUAAGGGGCAGUAAUACCUGGGAACGUACCCUGAGGUCGGGGAUAGCUGCUAGAAAUGGCGAGUAAUACCCGAUGAUCUCGAGAGAGCAAAGGCUUGCCGCCUUCGGAGCGGCCCAGGCGAUAUUAGCUAGUUGGUGAGGUAAUGGCUUACCAAGGCUUAGAUGUUUAGCGGGUGUGAGAGCACGACCCGCGCCACUGGCACUGAGACACUGGCCAGACACCUACGGGUGGCUGCAGUCGAGAAUCUUCGGCAAUGAGCGCAAGCUUGACCGAGCGACGCCGCGUGCGGGAUGAAGGCCUUCGGGUUGUAAACCGCUUUGGUCCGAGAGAAAGGGAAACUUGAUCGAUCGGAGAAACAAGGACGGGCUAAGUUCGUGCCAGCAGCCGCGGUAAGACGAACCGUCCAAACGUUAUUCGGAAUCACUGGGCUUAAAGGGCGCGUAGGCGGCCGAGCGGGUCGCGGGUGAAAUCCCCCAGCUUAACUGGGGAACUGCCCUCGAUACCACUGCGGCUCGAGGAAGGAAGGGGCAAUCGGAACUGUCGGUGGAGCGGUGAAAUGCGUUGAUAUCGACAGGAACGCCGGUGGCGAAAGCGGAUUGCUGGUCCUUUUCUGACGCUGAGGCGCGAAAGCCAGGGGAGCAAACGGGAUUAGAUACCCCGGUAGUCCUGGCCUUAAACGAUGAGAACUAGGUAG
rnacentral:rRNA from 1 species